GCACUGACAUCCAUAUAUAAAUCUCGUGUUUAAAUACUGGUUCCAUCACAUUACAGCUAUGCGAGCUCGGGGAACCCACCAAGCGCAGCGGGGAAGCCGUCUACCUCACUCGCCUGACUACGAUUCCACCAAGAAGCAACAAGUGCUACUUUUGAACAAGAAAAAGGGAUCACAGUCUACACUGAGAAAGAUCCCAACUGGGCAGUCAGAGGCUCAGAGACGAAGGAAGAAUGAAAAGAAGACAAGGGCUCAGACGAGACUUACAUUAAAAGAAGAAAUGGAUGACCUGGCUUCACUGCUUUCGAAACACUCCAUUCACCAGUAAACAGCAACCUCCUCUUCUUGGAGACUUCCCCGCCAUCCGUGACAGCCUCGGUCUCUACAGCCUGAAUCCGAUCCUGCACCUGGCUAUGCAGAACAACAGGCUGGUGUUUAAGCCCUCCAGCUGCUGCCCCAGGUGAUGCGUCAGGGUUUUCAGUCGGAAACGAGUGACAGAGUUAUCUUCUGAUUCAGAAAGGCAGCUGAUCCUCCAGACAUGUGAGUGCUGAGUGAGGGAACAGCACCUCCCUCUACCUGAAGAAACUUGGGAGUUCUGGACAAGGGCCCUGUGAAGGGUGGGAUGGGUGUGUGUGUCUGGGGGUGAAGGCGACUAGGCCUUUGAAGCAAAUGAAUACCAGCUGGAGGGCAAGAAA